UUUAGAACUCGAGAUAUGGGUUGAAUACUGAACAAUGUCUGGGCUGCAGGAUAGAUUCCAACUUCUCUUUUGUUGCUAUAAUUUGAACUUGAAAACGACCGUUUUGAAUCUUGGACUCUUCAUGAAAGUUUUAGGCCUAUGUCUUAGCUUUCCAUC
rfam:Populus trichocarpa scaffold_11_contig_545, whole genome shotgun sequence.